rnacentral:tRNA from 1 species
GGGCGCAUAGCUCAGUCGGUGAGAGCGCGACUCUUAUAAAGUCGAGGUCCCUGGUUCGAGUCCAGGUGCGCCCA